rnacentral:rRNA from 1 species
UACAGAGGUCUCAAGCGUUGUUCGGAAUCACUGGGCGUAAAGGGUGCGUAGGCGGCGGAGUAAGUCGGAUGUGAAAUUUGGAGGCUCAACCUCCAACUUGCAUCUGAUACUGCUUCGCUAGAGACCUGGAGAGGAGUUUGGAAUUCUCGGUGUAGCAGUGAAAUGCGUAGAUUUCGAGAAGAACGCUCGCAGCGAAAAGCGAAACUCUGGACAGCGUCUGACGCUGAGGCACGAAGGCUAGGGGAGCAAAGCGGG